rnacentral:rRNA from 1 species
GGCUCAGGACGAACGCUGGCGGCGUGCUUAACACAUGCAAGUCGAACGAUGAUCCGGUGCUUGCACCGGGGAUUAGUGGCGAACGGGUGAGUAACACGUGAGUAACCUGCCCUUGACUCUGGGAUAAGCCUGGGAAACCGGGUCUAAUACCGGAUACGACCUGUCACCGCAUGGUGGUGGGUGGAAAGAUUUUUUGGUUUUGGAUGGACUCGCGGCCUAUCAGCUUGUUGGUGAGGUAAUGGCUCACCAAGGCGACGACGGGUAGCCGGCCUGAGAGGGUGACCGGCCACACUGGGACUGAGACACGGCCCAGACUCCUACGGGAGGCAGCAGUGGGGAAUAUUGCACAAUGGGCGAAAGCCUGAUGCAGCGACGCCGCGUGAGGGAUGACGGCCUUCGGGUUGUAAACCUCUUUCAGCAGGGAAGAAGC